rnacentral:rRNA from 1 species
GACGAACGCUGGCGGCGUGCUUAACACAUGCAAGUCGAACGGAAAGGCCCUGCUUUUGUGGGGUGCUCGAGUGGCGAACGGGUGAGUAACACGUGAGUAACCUGCCCUUGACUUUGGGAUAACUUCAGGAAACUGGGGCUAAUACCGGAUAGGAGCUCCUGCUGCAUGGUGGGGGUUGGAAAGUUUCGGCGGUUGGGGAUGGACUCGCGGCUUAUCAGCUUGUUGGUGGGGUAGUGGCUUACCAAGGCUUUGACGGGUAGCCGGCAUGAGAGGGUGACCGGCCACAUGGGGACUGAGAUACGGCCCAGACUCCUACGGGAGGCAGCAGUGGGGAAUAUUGCACAAUGGGAGGAAGCCUGAUGCAGCAACGCCGCGUGCGGGAUGACGGCCUUCGGGUUGUAAACCGCUUUCGCCUGUGACGAAGCGUGAGUGACGGUAAUGGGUAAAGAAGCACCGGCUAACUACGUG